GCGUUCGUAGCUCAGCUGGAUAGAGCACCGGAUUUCGAUUCCGGGGGUCAGAGGUUCGAAUCCUCUCGAGCGCACCA
rnacentral:tRNA from 1 species